CUGCCUACACAUGCAGUCGAACGAACCCUUCGGGGUUAGUGGCGCACGGGUGCGUAACGCGUGGGAAUCUGCCCUUUGCUUCGGAAUAACAGUUAGAAAUGACUGCUAAUACCGGAUGAUGUCUUCGGACCAAAGAUUUAUCGGCAAGGGAUGAGCCCGCGUAGGAUUAGGUAGUUGGUGGGGUAAAGGCCUACCAAGCCGACGAUCCUUAGCUGGUCUGAGAGGAUGAUCAGCCACACUGGGACUGAGACACGGCCCAGACUCCUACGGGAGGCAGCAGUGGGGAAUAUUGGACAAUGGGCGCAAGCCUGAUCCAGCAAUGCCGCGUGAGUGAUGAAGGCCUUCGGGUCGUAAAGCUCUUUUACCAGGGAUGAUAAUGACAGUACCUGGAGAAUAAGCUCCGGCUAACUCCGUGCCAGCAGCCGCGGUAAUACGGAGGGAGCUAGCGUUGUUCGGAAUUACUGGGCGUAAAGCGCACGUAGGCGGCUACUCAAGUCAGAGGUGAAAGCCCGGGGCUCAACCCCGGAACUGCCUUUGAAACUAGGUAGCUG
rnacentral:rRNA from 1 species